rnacentral:tRNA from 5 species
GCGCUGGUAGCUCAGCUGGAUAGAGUGUCUGACUACGAAUCAGAAGGCCGGGGGUUCGAGUCCCUUCCAGCGCACCA